GACGAACCGUGCGAACGUUAUUCGGAAUCACUGGGCUUAAAGCGCAUGUAGGCGGAUAGGAACGUCGGAUGUUGAAAGCCCCCGGCUACCACCGGGGAAGUGGCACCGAAACGACCUGUCUGGAGGGACGUAGGGGGACCUGGAACUUCCGGUGGGAGCGGUGAAAUGCGUUGAGAAUCGGAAGGAACGCCCGUGGCGAAAAGCGAGGUCCUGGACGUUUUCUGACGCU
rnacentral:rRNA from 1 species